UGGAUCAUUGAUGACCAAAAAAAAAAUCAUCUGGGAGUCCUCUGAGACAUCCAUGAUGACCACAACAUUGGGAGUCUGUGGUCCAC
ensembl:snoRNA LOC120093380 small nucleolar RNA SNORD113/SNORD114 family